GACGGGGGGGGCAAGUGUUCUUCGGAAUGACUGGGCGUAAAGGGCACGUAGGCGUGAAUCGGGUUGAAAGUGAAAGUCGCCAAAAAGUGGCGGAAUGCUCUCGAAACCAAUUCACUUGAGUGAGACAGAGGAGAGUGGAAUUUCGUGUGUAGGGGUGAAAUCCGUAAAUAUACGAAGGAACGCCAAAAGCGAAGGCAGCUCUCUGGGUCCCUACCGACGCUCGGG
rnacentral:rRNA from 1 species